UAUUAAAGUAGCCUUUAGCAUUUGUUAAUCACCUAGUAAAUUUUGCUUUGUUUAUGAAAUUGACUGUUUUUACCUGUUCCCCACCAUCCUGAAGCAGCUGGUUUGAUAGAAAGGUAGAAUGGCCUUUUAAGACUCCAUUACACUGCCAGAUUCCAAAGCCUUGGGACUUGAAGGAAACUUUUCUGAAAUUCUGACUGAUGACUGCAGAUACAGCUGGCCUCUAUACAUUCCUGAAUCAACCAGAACAUCGUCAAUUAUGCAUUGAUUUUUUAAAAAUGGUUUUUUAAUUAAAUAAAAUUACAUUAAUUCCA